GGUUACCUUGUUACGACUUCACCCCAGUCGCUGAUCCUACCGUGGUCCGCUGCCUCAAAAGUUAGCGCACGGCCUUCGGGUAGAACCAACUCCCAUGGUGUGACGGGCGGUGUGUACAAGGCCCGGGAACGUAUUCACCGCGUCAUGCUGUUACGCGAUUACUAGCAAUUCCAACUUCAUGCCGGCGAGUUGCAGCCGACAAUCCGAACUGAGACAGCUUUUUGGGAUUAACCCAUUGUCACUGCCAUUGUAGCACGUGUGUAGCCCACCACGUAAGGGCCAUGAGGACUUGACGUCAUCCCACCUUCCUCCGGCUUAUCACCGGCGGUUCCUCUAGAGUGCCCAGCC
rnacentral:rRNA from 1 species